rnacentral:rRNA from 1 species
AUUGAACGCUGGCGGCAUGCCUUACACAUGCAAGUCGAACGGUAACAGAUCUUCGGAUGCUGACGAGUGGCGAACGGGUGAGUAAUACAUCGGAACGUGCCUAGUAGUGGGGGAUAACUACUCGAAAGAGUGGCUAAUACCGCAUGAGAUCUACGGAUGAAAGCAGGGGAUUGCAAGACCUUGUGCUACUAGAGCGGCCGAUGGCAGAUUAGGUAGUUGGUGGGAUAAAAGCUUACCAAGCCGACGAUCUGUAGCUGGUCUGAGAGGACGAUCAGUCACACUGGGACUGAGACACGGCCCAGACUCCAACGGGAGGCAGGAGUGGGGAAUUUUGGACAAUGGGCGCAAGCCUGAUCCAGCAAUGCCGCGUGCAGGAUGAAGGCCUUCGGGUUGUAAACUGCUUUUGUACGGAACGAAAAGCCCUGGGUUAAUACCCUGGGGUCAUGACGGUACCGUAAGAAUAAGCACCGGCUAACUACGUGCCAGCCGCCGCGGUAAUAC